AUUGAACGCUGGCGGCAUGCCUUACACAUGCAAGUCGAACGGCAGCGGACCUUCGGGUGCCGGCGAGUGGCGAACGGGUGAGUAAUAUAUCGGAACGUACCUUUCAGUGGGGGAUAACGUAGCGAAAGUUACGCUAAUACCGCAUAUUCUGUGAGCAGGAAAAGCAGGGGAUCGCAAGACCUUGCGCUGAUUGAGCGGCCGAUAUCAGAUUAGCUAGUUGGUGAGGUAAAGGCUCACCAAGGCGACGAUCUGUAGCGGGUCUGAGAGGAUGAUCCGCCACACUGGAACUGAGACACGGUCCAGACUCCUACGGGAGGCAGCAGUGGGGAAUUUUGGACAAUGGGCGCAAGCCUGAUCCAGCCAUGCCGCGUGAGUGAAGAAGGCCUCGGUUGUAAG
rnacentral:rRNA from 1 species